rnacentral:rRNA from 1 species
AGUGAACGCUGGCGGUAGGCCUAACACAUGCAAGUCGAACGGCAGCACAGUAAGAGCUUGCUCUUACGGGUGGCGAGUGGCGGACGGGUGAGGAAUACAUCGGAAUCUACUUUUUCGUGGGGGAUAACGUAGGGAAACUUACGCUAAUACCGCAUACGACCUACGGGUGAAAGCAGGGGAUCUUCGGACCUUGCGCGAUUGUAUGAGCCGAUGUCGGAUUAGCUAGUUGGCGGGGUAAAGGCCCACCAAGGCGACGAUCCGUAGCUGGUCCGAGAGGAUGAUCAGCCACACUGGAACUGAGACACGGUCCAGACUCCUACGGGAGGCAGCAGUGGGGAAUAUUGGACAAUGGGCGCAAGCCUGAUCCAGCCAUACCGCGUGGGUGAAGAAGGCCUUCGGGUUGUAAAGCGCUUUUGUUGGGAAAGAAAAGCAGCAGGUUAAUACCCCGCUGUUCUGACGGUACCCAAAGAAUAAGCACCGGCUAACUUCGUG